UACGGAGGUGGCAAGCGUUGCUCGGAAUCACUGGGCGUAAAGGGCGCGUAGGCGGGGAGGUAAGUCGGGUGUGAAAUCCCUCGGCCCAACCGAGGAACUGCGCCCGAGACUGCUUCUCUUGAGUCCCGGAGAGGAAGAUGGAAUUCCCGGUGUAGCGGUGAAAUGUGUAGAGAUCGGAAAGAACAUCGAUGGCGAAGGCAGCGGCCUGGGUCCAGACUGACACUGAGGUGCGAAAGCGUGGGGAGCAAACAGG
rnacentral:rRNA from 1 species